rnacentral:rRNA from 1 species
UACGAAGGGGGCUAGCGUUGCUCGGAAUCACUGGGCGUAAAGCGCACGUAGGCGGAUUGUUAAGUCAGGGGUGAAAUCCUAGAGCUCAACUCCAGAACUGCCUUUGAUACUGGCGAUCUUGAGUCCGGGAGAGGUGAGUGGAACUGCGAGUGUAGAGGUGAAAUUCGUAGAUAUUCACAAGAACACCAGUGGCGAAGGCGGCUCACUGGCCCGGUACUGACGCUGAGGUGCGAAAGCGUGGGGAGCAAACAGG